rnacentral:lncRNA from 1 species
CACGAACGUGCCCUAGCAGGUGCCAUCUCGAGGAAACCUGGUGCCGUCCCGACGACCUGCCCUAGAUCUGAUGUCCAUAACGUCCUCGACUCGCUGGCCGUCGUCUCGAGGACACCUCGGGCAAUCCCGACGCGCCGCCCUAGCUUCGUUGUCCACACCGUCCUCGCCCUAGUGGCCGCACCAUCUCAAGGCCAUUGGUCAACAUCGGAGUACUUCCAGCCUGCCACUGCAAGGUUAGAUCAUUUCAAUGUCCACAUCUUAUGAUGAGAAAGAAAAUACAGGAAAUUUCACCAUUACACUGCUGAUCUAUAAUUUGUUACCAUCAUGUGUGUACAAAUUUAAUACCUACAGGACACCAUGAUCUAUAAUGGGGUAGUGGGGUACGGACUUCAUUUCAGGACCGCAAACGAACAGCAAUUCAAGUAAAUAUAUAUAUCACCAACGUCUAACCUACUUAGACUUUGUAAAUCAUGAAGAUCUCAUUUCUCACAGGUCAAAAAGCAGAUCCAAAAAAAGUGAGGAGACAAAGGAAGAGGGAGAGGUAUGCACGAUAUUAAAAAGGAGACGUGAGGCAAGGGAUCAUAAGAAAACUACAUAUGCUAUUCCAAAUGGAAAGCGCAUUCCAUAACACCCGUGGGCAUACCGCCUGGUUUGUCCAUUUUCUCUAUUCUUUAUGAUACAUAUGAUGAAUCACAAGUAUAAUCAUAUUGAUGAUCCAUUAUUUCUGACAGAAGAUUUUCACACUGCAGAGAAGCCCACGGCGCACUCUGCUGUCACCCAGCUAUGAUACACACCAGCGGCGGAAGGUGAUGUUUUUCUAACCAAACAUAAUAGCUUCAUUUAUGUGUGAACAACUGACAUUGUACAGACAAUUGUGAUCCUGGCAUACCUGUUGAUGUGAUGAUGUCUGAUGAGACUCCAUUCCAUGGUCCAGAUUCAUUAAAAACACCCCACAGUGCCGUUUCUAACAAGGAAAAUGUCAAUAAUGUUGACUCUGGCAUUUAGUCUUCCCAUCGUACUGGGUUAUGAGCGCCACUUCAAGCCUAGAAUUGCAGCUUGUCAAAUGGUAAACUGUUGCUCGCAUGGCAUGAGCAAAAUAAAGAAGAAAAACAAUUGUUGCUCAUAUUGUGCAUCGGAGCUAAUUUGCGUCUAUAUCAUACAGAAGAAAAACAACUGUUGCACAUAUUGUAGCUAAUUCACACUUAUAUUUACAGAAGAAAAGCAAGCACUUCAGAGGGAGAGAGAUUUAUGAAUUUCAGUACAAUUGUUCUUGAUAACUAGAUCUGUUAUAGCAACUUGUUCUGACAUCAAAUGCAACACCUUUGACAUCGAUAAUUUGCUCAUGUCAUGGAUCUUUUUUACAUUGCAAUUCUUCAGAUUGUAUUAGUUCAGCACUAUUCUGUGCUGCAAUGGAGAUAUAGCUUAUAGACGAUCAAUAUAUCAGCCAUAGGACCACAAUGCUUUUCACAAAGCUGUGACAUUCUCUA